rnacentral:lncRNA from 1 species
AUGGACACGAGUUUCACUUUCAAGAGGUUGCCCAAGAACAAGCAGUUGGUUGAGGAGAUGGCUCCAUAGAGACUCUGCUUAAAUGUCACAGUGGACACAACGCCUCAUAUAACAGUCACCCAUUGAAUAUUGAAGACGGGUCUCAGCAAAACCUUUCUGCCUUUCCUGUGGCCCCAGCUACUCCUUCCUUUGGCCUCCCAGCGUUCCUUGAAUGUAGAGACCUCUACUGUAGCACUCCCUACUUUGCAUUAUAAUUGCCUAUCCCCUCAUUGAAUAGUAAGUAGUCU